AGGGUUUGAUUCUGGCUCAGGAUGAACGCUGGCGGCGUGCUUAACACAUGCAAGUCGAGCGAAGCACUUAGGAAAGAUUCUUCGGAUGAUUUCCUAUUUGACUGAGCGGCGGACGGGUGAGUAACGCGUGGGUAACCUGCCUCAUACAGGGGGAUAACAGUUAGAAAUGACUGCUAAUACCGCAUAAGACCACAGCACCGCAUGGUGCAGGGGUAAAAACUCCGGUGGUAUGAGAUGGACCCGCGUCUGAUUAGUUAGUUGGUGGGGUAACGGCCUACCAAGGCGACGAUCAGUAGCCGACCUGAGAGGGUGACCGGCCACAUUGGGACUGAGACACGGCCCAA
rnacentral:rRNA from 1 species